rnacentral:misc_RNA from 1 species
AAAUACGGUAAAAGCGCAUCAUUCCUGCAACCGGAUUGGUAUUAUGAACAAGACCAAGGUUUACCUUUCAUAGUCUAUGUUAUCCGUAGUCGCGGUUGGACGUACAGUUUCAAGGAUCCAAACGUACCUCUCGCAUAGGGUCUUGGUGCCAUUAUACUGUGCUAAUUGACACUUAUAGGCUCGACUAUAACGUUAUCCAAAGAUUAAGAUUCUUGGGGACGACGUUGCGAAUGAUUAACUGCAUUGGUUAUGCACAGUCUUAUAUAUGCCUACAAUCUUGAUGCGGCAAUCCGUAAAAUAGCUUUGAGCACUUUUAUUUUCGCUCCAUGUAUCACUGUUUACAUUAUUCAUUUCUUGCUAUCUUUUGCUCCCAUAAUAAUUGUUUAUUUAAAA